rnacentral:rRNA from 1 species
AUUGAACGCUGGCGGCAGGCUUAACACAUGCAAGUCGAGCGGGGUGAUGGUGCUUGCACUAUCACUUAGCGGCGGACGGGUGAGUAAUGCUUAGGAAUCUGCCUAUUAGUGGGGGACAACAUCUCGAAAGGGAUGCUAAUACCGCAUACGUCCUACGGGAGAAAGCAGGGGAUCACUUGUGACCUUGCGCUAAUAGAUGAGCCUAAGUCGGAUUAGCUAGUUGGUGGGGUAAAGGCCUACCAAGGCGACGAUCUGUAGCGGGUCUGAGAGGAUGAUCCGCCACACUGGGACUGAGACACGGCCCAGACUCCUACGGGAGGCAGCAAUGGGGAAUAUUGGACAAUGGGGGGAACCCUGAUCCAGCCAUGCCGCGUGUGUGAAGAAGGCCUUAUGGUUGUAAAGCACUUUAAGCGAGGAGGAGGCUUACCUAGUUAAUACCUGGGAUAAGUGGACGUUACUCGCAGAAUAAGCACCGGCUAACUCUGUGCCUGCAGCCGCGGUAA